AAGUACCCCGAGGAAAAGAAAUCAACCGAGAUUCCCUUAGUAGCGGCGAGCGAACGGGGACUAGCCCUUAAGCAAUCUUGUAGUUAGUAGAAGGCUCUGGAAAGUGCCGCCAUAGUGGGUGAUAGCCCCGUAUACGAAAACUUAUAGAUUGUGAAAACGAGUAGGUCGGGACACGUGUUAUCCUGACUGAACAUGGGGGGACCAUCCUCCAAGGCUAAAUACUCCCAGAUGACCGAUAGUGAACUAGUACCGUGAGGGAAAGGCGAAAAGAACCCCUGUUAGGGGAGUGAAAUAGACCCUGAAACCGCGUACGUACAAGCAGUGGGAGCCGACUUGUUCGGUGACUGCGUACCUUUUGUAUAAU
rnacentral:rRNA from 1 species